CCUGCACCUAGAGGCACUGCAGGUGUGGCUGCUGUGUCACAUGUGCUUCUCUAGGUGGCAGAGAGACAGGCUGUCUGUGCUCAGUGUUCUGACCUAUGAAUAUCUGAAUGAUUAGUAGCCUAACGUU